UGGGGAAUAUUGGACAAUGGGCGAAAGCCUGAUCCAGCCAUGCCGCGUGUGUGAAGAAGGUCUUCGGAUUGUAAAGCACUUUAAGUUGGGAGGAAGGGCAGUAAGCGAAUACCUUGCUGUUUUGCCCCCACCGACAGAAUAAGCACCGGCUAACUCUGUGCCAGCAGCCGCGGUAAUACAGAGGGUGCAAGCGUUAAUCGGAAUUACUGGGCGUAAAGCGCGCGUAGGUGGUUCGUUAAGUUGAAUGUGAAAGCCCCGGGCUCAACCUGGGAACUGCAUCCAAAACUGGCGAGCUAGAGUAGGGCAGAGGGUGGUGGAAUUUCCUGUGUAGCGGUGAAAUGCGUAGAUAUAGGAAGGAACACCAGUGGCGAAGGCGACCACCUGGGCUCAUACUGACACUGAGGUGCGAAAGCGUGGGGAGCAAACAGG
rnacentral:rRNA from 1 species